rnacentral:lncRNA from 1 species
GAAAGGAGAAUCUCCAUUCAGAGAUAGGGAAAGUCUUAUGGGUUCUCAUAUAGUGUUGACUGGUAUGCAACUCAAUCUCAUUGAUCGUUAUGUUUGGUAUUACACUCCAUAGCUUGAUAUGAUCUCCAUAGAUAAUGCAGUUCAUGUUAGUUCUUGUAGGCCACUAUCUUUGGUAUUAGCUGCAUUAUUGAAUAGAUAAUAAUCAACAGACAAAUAUAGGGUUGACUGUCCUUAAUCAAUGUACCUUUUGGUAGGCUGAUGCAGGGGGUUCUCCUUCUCUGGUGGCUAGAGGGUUUGCUACUGCAUAGGUAGUUGCAGCUGCAGAACAAAUUCAGAUACAGGUACCAAAUGAAAAGGCAAGUUCCAUUAGUGUUCUUUUGGUGGCUUUCAUUUUGACAAUGUUGUAUGUAAGACAUUCUUUCUAUAUGCCAGGUGGGACACCAUUAAAAGACUGCAGGCCAAAACAGGGGCUAUAUUCUGGUGGUUUAUUUUGUAUGGCCUUGCCUUGGUUUGAUGCAUUGUUGCUUAUUUAUAUUAUAACUUGGCCUCAUGGUUUUCUCUUCUAAAUUGUAACUCUGGUCGAUGUGGUUAUUAGAACUAUUGUCAGUGUAGUGUUUUGAGUUCUCGUGCCUUGUACCUCUUUAUGAUCUUGCAUUCCCUCUUAGCAUGUUCCUAUACAACAAAUGGUUAGUUUAUUUGUAAACAUGAGAUUUCUGUUUGAAGUGCCACUAGGAGUCUUCCUGGAGUAAACAUAAUAAAUUUGCAUGAUUUAUUUUGCUCAUUUCAGGUAUCACAUUAUGCGAUUGCCAUGGAAUGAUGGUUUUUUUUUUCUAUAAUUCCAAUUUUCUCUUUCCAGCUAAUCCAAUUAAUCUGUGCACUAAUUUGCUUUGGUAGCAUCUUUGCUGAAGUGGAUUCCUCUCACUAGUACCCAACAAUAAACUGUCAAUUUGCAUAUGCUGAAUUUGGGUUCAUGAGAUCAAGAGCUUCUGGGGUAUUAGAUGAG